rnacentral:rRNA from 1 species
UCCGGUGAUUAUAGCGCAAGGGUCACACCCGAUCCCAUUCCGAACUCGGAAGUUAAGCCUUGUUGCGC